GACGAACGCUGGCGGCGUGCCUAAUACAUGCAAGUCGAGCGGACAGAAGGGAGCUUGCUCCCGGAUGUUAGCGGCGGACGGGUGAGUAACACGUAGGAACCUACCCUCAAGUGGGGGAUAACCUAGGGAAACUUAGGCUAAUACCGCAUAAUCUCUGCGGAGGAAAGCUGGGGUGACCUGGCGCUUGGGGAUGGGCCUACGGCCUAUCAGCUAGUUGGUGGGGUAAUGGCCUACCAAGGCGACGACGGUAGCUGGCCUGAGAGGGUGGUCAGCCACACUGGGACUGAGACAGGCCCAGACUCCUACGGGAGGCAGCAUG
rnacentral:rRNA from 1 species